AGGUAAGCUACUAAGAGCGAAUGGUGGAUGCCUUGACUGGUAAAGGCGAUGAAGGACGUACUAGACUGCGAUAAGCUACGGGGAGCUGUCAAGAAGCUUUGAUCCGUAGAUUUCCGAAUGGGGCAACCCAAUGUAUAGAGAUAUACAUUACCUAUAUAGGAGCGAACGAGGGGAAUUGAAACAUCUUAGUACCCUCAGGAAAAGAAAUCAAUAGAGAUUGCGUCAGUAGCGGCGAGCGAAAGCGCAAGAGGGCAAACCCAGUGCUUGCACUGGGGGUUGUAGGACUGCAAUGUGCAAGAGGUAAGUUUAGCAGAACAUUCUGGAAAGUAUAACCAUAGAGGGUGAUAGUCCCGUAUGCGAAAAACAAACCUUAGCUAGCAGUAUCCUGAGUAGGGCGGGACACGAGGAAUCCUGUCUGAAUCCGGGUCGACCACGAUCCAACCCUAAAUACUAAUACCAGAUCGAUAGUGCACAAGUACCGUGAGGGAAAGGUGAAAAGAACUGAGGUGAUCAGAGUGAAAUAGAACCUGAAACCAUUUGCUUACAAUCAUUCAGAGCCCUAUGUAGCAAUACAGGGUGAUGGACUGCCUUUUGCAUAAUGAGCCUGCGAGUUGUGGUGUCUGGCAAGGUUAAGCAAACGCGAAGCCGUAGCGAAAGCGAGUCUGAAUAGGGCGCUUAGUCAGAUGCUGCAGACCCGAAACGAAGUGAUCUAUCCAUGAGCAAGUUGAAGCUAGUGUAAGAACUAGUGGAGGACUGAACCCAUAGGCGUUGAAAAGCCCCGGGAUGACUUGUGGAUAGGGGUGAAAGGCCAAUCAAACUUCGUGAUAGCUGGUUCUCUCCGAAAUAUAUUUAGGUAUAGCGUUGUGUCGUAAUAUAAGGGGGUAGAGCACUGAAUGGGCUAGGGCAUACACCAAUGUACCAAACCCUAUCAAACUCCGAAUACCUUAUAUGUAAUCACAGCAGUCAGGCGGCGAGUGAUAAAAUCCGUCGUCAAGAGGGAAACAACCCAGACUACCAGCUAAGGUCCCUAAAUCUUACUUAAGUGGAAAACGAUGUGAAGUUACUUAAACAACCAGGAGGUUGGCUUAGAAGCAGCCAUCCUUUAAAGAAAGCGUAAUAGCUCACUGGUCUAGUGAUUUUGCGCGGAAAAUAUAACGGGGCUAAAGUAAGUACCGAAGCUGUAGACUUGCACACAACUUAGAUUAUUUAAGUUUAGAAUAUGAGAAACUAAGUUAUAUGUUUAGUUAUAUUUUUACUGAUUUUUAUAGAGUAAAGAUAGAAAUAAAACUUAGUAAAAUCAGUAAAAAUAUUCUUAGACUAAAGUUAAGUAGUUUAAGUUGUGUGCAAGUGGUAGGAGAGCGUUCUAUUUGCGUCGAAGGUAUACCGGUAAGGAGUGCUGGAGCGAAUAGAAGUGAGCAUGCAGGCAUGAGUAGCGAUAAUUAAUGUGAGAAUCAUUAACGCCGUAAACCCAAGGUUUCCUACGCGAUGCUCGUCAUCGUAGGGUUAGUCGGGUCCUAAGUCGAGUCCGAAAGGGGUAGACGAUGGCAAAUUGGUUAAUAUUCCAAUACCAACAUUAGUGUGCGAUGGAAGGACGCUUAGGGCUAAGGGGGCUAGCGGAUGGAAGUGCUAGUCUAAGGUCGUAGGAGGUUAUACAGGCAAAUCCGUAUAACAAUACUCCGAGAACUGAAAGGCUUUUUGAAGUCUUCGGAUGGAUAGAAGAACCCCUGAUGCCGUCGAGCCAAGAAAAGUUUCUAAGUUUAGCUAAUGUUGCCCGUACCGUAAACCGACACAGGUGGGUGGGAUGAGUAUUCUAAGGCGCGUGGAAGAACUCUCUUUAAGGAACUCUGCAAAAUAGCACCGUAUCUUCGGUAUAAGGUGUGGUUAGCUUUGUAUUAGGAUUUACUCCGAAAGCAAGGAAACUUACAACAAAGAGUCCCUCCCGACUGUUUACCAAAAACACAGCACUCUGCUAACUCGUAAGAGGAUGUAUAGGGUGUGACGCCUGCCCGGUGCUCGAAGGUUAAUUGAUGGGGUUAGCAUUAGCGAAGCUCUUGAUCGAAGCCCGAGUAAACGGCGGCCGUAACUAUAACGGUCCUAAGGUAGCGAAAUUCCUUGUCGGUUAAAUACCGACCUGCAUGAAUGGCGUAACGAGAUGGGAGCUGUCUCAAAGAGGGAUCCAGUGAAAUUGUAGUGGAGGUGAAAAUUCCUCCUACCCGCGGCAAGACGGAAAGACCCCGUGGACCUUUACUACAGCUUGACACUGCUACUUGGAUAAGAAUGUGCAGGAUAGGUGGGAGGCUUUGAGUAUAUGACGCCAGUUGUAUAUGAGCCAUUGUUGAGAUACCACUCUUUCUUAUUUGGGUAGCUAACCAGCUUGAGUUAUCCUCAAGUGGGACAAUGUCUGGUGGGUAGUUUGACUGGGGCGGUCGCCUCCCAAAUAAUAACGGAGGCUUACAAAGGUUGGCUCAGAACGGUUGGAAAUCGUUCGUAGAGUAUAAAGGUAUAAGCCAGCUUAACUGCAAGACAUACAAGUCAAGCAGAGACGAAAGUCGGUCUUAGUGAUCCGGUGGUUCUGUGUGGAAGGGCCAUCGCUCAAAGGAUAAAAGGUACCCCGGGGAUAACAGGCUGAUCUCCCCCAAGAGCUCACAUCGACGGGGAGGUUUGGCACCUCGAUGUCGGCUCAUCGCAUCCUGGGGCUGGAGCAGGUCCCAAGGGUAUGGCUGUUCGCCAUUUAAAGCGGUACGCGAGCUGGGUUCAGAACGUCGUGAGACAGUUCGGUCCCUAUCUGCCGUGGGCAUAAGAAGAUUGAAGAGAUUUGACCCUAGUACGAGAGGACCGGGUUGAACAAACCACUGGUGUAGCUGUUGUUCUGCCAAGAGCAUCGCAGCGUAGCUAAGUUUGGAAAGGAUAAACGCUGAAAGCAUCUAAGCGUGAAGCCAACUCUAAGAUGAAUCUUCUCUAAGCUCUCUAGAAGACUACUAGUUUGAUAGGCUGGGUGUGUAAUGGAUGAAAGUCCUUUAGCUGACCAGUACUAAUAGAGCGUUUGGCUUAUCUUU
rnacentral:rRNA from 1 species